rnacentral:rRNA from 1 species
GAUGAACGCUGGCGGCGUGCUUAACACAUGCAAGUCGAACGGAAAGGCCCAAGCUUGCUUGGGUGCUCGAGUGGCGAACGGGUGAGUAACACGUGGGUGAUCUGCCCUGCACUUUGGGAUAAGCCUGGGAAACUGGGUCUAAUACCGGAUAGGACCAUCGUUUAGUGUCGGUGGUGGAAAGUUUUUCGGUGUGGGAUGAGCUCGCGGCCUAUCAGCUUGUUGGUGGGGUAAUGGCCUACCAAGGCGUCGACGGGUAGCCGGCCUGAGAGGGUGUACGGCCACAUUGGGACUGAGAUACGGCCCAGACUCCUACGGGAGGCAGCAGUGGGGAAUAUUGCACAAUGGGCGCAAGCCUGAUGCAGCGACGCCGCGUGGGGGAUGACGGCCUUCGGGUUGUAAACUCCUUUCACCAAGGACGAAGCGUUUUGUGACGGUACUUGGAGAAGAAGCACCGGCUAACUACGUG